UUUUUUAGGAUUGUGAGCUGAGGCUCGUUUUAAGUGAUUUUGAUGACACUAUUGGUUAUGAACAAUACUGGCACAUCAUCACUUAGCAUGAGCUUUAGAUUUUCGUCAAGUUCUACCAAA